rnacentral:tRNA from 1 species
AAAAAGAUAAGCUAAAGAAGCUUUUAGGUUCAUACCCUGACUAUAAAGGAAUAAUCCUUUUCUUUUUA